rnacentral:rRNA from 1 species
GACGAACGCUGGCGGCGUGCUUAACACAUGCAAGUCGAGCGGUAAGGCCCUUUCGGGGGUACACGAGCGGCGAACGGGUGAGUAACACGUGGGUGACCUGCCCUCAGCUCUGGGAUAAGCCUGGAAAACCGGGUCUAAUACUGGAUAUGACUCCAUGACGCAUGUUGUGGGGUGGAAAGCCUUGUGCGGCUGAGGAUGGGCCCGCGGCCCUAUCAGCUUGUUGGUGGGGUGANGGCCUACCAAGGCGACGACGGGUAGCCGGCCUGAGAGGGCGACCGGCCACACUGGGACUGAGACACGGCCCAGACUCCUACGGGGGCAGCAGUGGGGAAUCUUGCGCAAUGGGCGAAAGCCUGACGCAGCGACGCCGCGUGAGGGAUGACGGCCU